CCGCCUGUCUCUGCCUCUCGCACGCAUGCACCACUAAGCCAGGCACUUUUAAAAAGAUUUAUUUUAUUUUAAAUUAUGUCUUCCCUGUGUGUGUUUGUGUGUGCACAUAGUGAGUGUGCUACCGGAGGCCAGAAGAACAUACCCGGUCCACUAGAACUGGACUUGUGUUCAUGAGCCUCUCAAUGUGAGAACUGGGAACUGAAUUCGGGACCUCUGCAAGAAGAGCAACAACUUCUCUUUAUUCAUCUGUUCACUCCGACAGCCAACAGUAUUUACUACCACACCUCCCCCACCCUUGCACAUGUGUGCUGAGCAACAUGCUGGAGACACUCGGGGAAAAAAUAUCUGAAUUCCUGGAGAUUUGCUUUCGAGGGAGAAAACCUGAAGAGCCAGCAUGUUCCUUCACCUCAUGUUACAUCUGGGAUGAAGCGUGAGUCGUAGUCUUAGAGGGCUUGGCACAGACAACAGUUCAGUUGAACCCUGGUAUUCUCCUGUUUUUAAUGACCUUGCCUUCCAGCCACAGUACCUUGCCACCAGCUUUUAGGUGUUUGUGCCUUGAGAAGAAUUCCUCUGACAUACAUUAGCAGGGCUACUGCAAUGUGGACCUUGGUGAUCUCAGAAAUGACCUUGCACGUAGGCAGGGCUGAAAGUAAGACAAUCUCAGCUCUCUUGUAGGUGACUUUCCUGGAGCCACAUAGUAGGAUCAUUGGCCUACCUCACUGGCCUCAAACCACCACGUGGGACAGACUGACAGACUGCACUGUCUGGUCAGGACGACUGUCUUCCUGAGGGACAGAUCAGUUUUAGGCUCUCAAAAGCACAACACACCCAGUGAGACCAAAGUGGACAAACAGACCAGGAAGUAAGAGAGUCCCCAAGAACCCCAUCCAUGUCUGAGGACCAUUUUAGGAGACAGCUGCUUGAAACCGGUUCUCACCAGAAUUCCUUAGGCUGGGGGAGGGGGGAGGGGCGGGGAGAGGGGGGGGUGGGGUGGAGCCCCGGAGGAUUUGCUUUCCUUUGGUCUCUGUCUUCCUCUUCCUCACUCCUUCAGGGUUCUUUCUUUGGAGGGAAAUACAUUUGCAGCAGGCUGGUCACUGGCUACCCGUGAUUCCAGGAUGCUUUCUGAGAUAUCUGCACAGUGCGCAUCUGCUUUGUCCCAGAGCCUGGGUGAUACUCUGAGGCUGGGGAAUCGGACCUAAGAUCUAACUGAGGCCUUACUUGUGGACCAAAAAAGCACAUUAAAACAGACCAGGGCAUCUUUCCCUCUGCCAGCAUCCUUUCUGGGUGCCGGUAGGAUUCUGAAAGCGUUCUGCUUUCUAACUCAGAUGGAAGACCUGAGAUCCGCCCAGCACUGGUUCCUUUUAUGCUGAGUCAGUUUUUAUAAACACUGAGGAAGCAUUGUGUGGGCAUCUCAGGCAUUUUGAUGCUAAUGAUUUAAUCUCCCUUUGGCUCCACUAACAGCUGGGGCCAGACAUACCAUGCUGGUGGCUUAGAGACCCACUGGCAGGUUUGCCCCAAAGGGCCAGGAGGUUGGCACCCCCCCUCCCUUCCCAGUGCCAGCCUUUAGGCUGGAGGAAAUGCAGAGGCUGGUUGCCUUUUCUUUAUCUCAGUUUCCUUUGGCCAUCCCAUCAAGAACGGCAGCAGCAGGAGGAGGGUUCAUUCAUGUGUACCCAUGAAUAUGUUGCAGUCUUCACCUCUGCUGGGUCUCUCUGAAUCUUGUUGAGGAGGUCUGUGGGGGCGGGUGAGGGCAGGGCCUUAUUUAGGAGAGGGAGGCCCACUGCAAACUCUGUGGGGAUGUGUUGGCAAGGAAGGGAGGGGAGACCAGACAGGGACAAAGGCUUACACCAACAUGAACGACUUUUUGCAAACAGGUUGAUUCUCAGCAGCUUUAUCUACCUCAUUUUGCUUAUCAUGAGCAACUGUCUGCUACUUAUCCAUUCUGCAAGAGGAUCCUAGGGCAGCUUGUGGGGAGCAGGUGCCACCCCAGCUUCUGGCUCUGAACUGUUCCAGGUCACGUUUCUUUCUUCAGUUCUACUUAGUGUCUGUGUGCCCCGCCCCCACCCAUGAGCAGACCACCGAGGAGAGGAAACGGUUAACAUUAGGAGACACUAAAGAUACAAGUGUCACCUACAGUCCUGAGGGCUGUGAUCCAGGAACCAGGAUGAAGGGAGACUGCCACCUACGGGCCAGGUUCCAGGGAUGUCCACGUGUGGAUUCUAAGGGACGCAGAAGGCCUUCCAGGAAUGGUUUGCUAGUUGCUCUUUCUGCCAACACACUAAAAACAAAACAAAACCAAAAAAAAAAAAAAGUGAUUCAUACAAAGAGGCAUUUUCUUCCUGAUUUGCAAAAGAAGUUUUCCCACAGGCAUGCCAUUUUUUAAAGCUAAGAGCUGUCUACACCUCUGAACUCAUCAUCCAAAUUCAAUAGAAUGAGGUGGGUGCUCCCAAGCUUCUGGCCUGGGGUACAGCUCGGUGGGUAGGGCACUUGUCUGGAUCCUCAAAACCUUGAAUUGAAUCCCUAGGACUGAAAACACAAACAGCCAAUUGCACAUAAUGGAGCAGCUGUCCACUGCUGUCGGCUGUGAGGGUCCGCGGAGGACCCUGAUCCAGCACAGCGCCUGGACUGUGUGGCUGCUUGUAGGAAUGAGUCCCUGUGAUGAAUCAAAGACAAACAGCAUCUUGCGGCACCAUCCCAAAAAAGUAGCAGGAGAAAUAAGGAUCAGACAACUACCGACUCCACGACAGUAGAGUAGUAGGGUGUGAGGGCCUUGGAGAAUGGGCAUGGGAAAAAGAAGGGUUGUCUCUCAACGUAGAGAAGAGCUUUACAUACAGUAGAGCCCUUGAACUCGGAGCUAGACUGUUGGAUGAGGUUAGCUCUGCUCCCAAAGUGAGAAAGAAAAGUCACAGAAUGUGAGCGUGGGCUACUGUGUUACGGCGGUCCCAGUGUGGAUUAUACCACUGCCCUUUGUUAUCUAAGAGCAGUGUGUUUGUGGGCAUCACACCCCACCAUUCCACAGUCUGCCGUUAUGUAAUCAGAUCUGACUCCACACUAUCUACUCAACACUGAAUGGUUAAACAGCCUGCUCUUGUUGCAGAGAAGGGAGGAAUCCAGGUGUUUGGAUGAGGGAGUGGUUCUAGUGUUUCUUCGUGGUUUUGAGUGUGUAUGAUGUGGGUACCUGAAGUCGUGUGUAAAUGUGCAUAUUAUGUGCGAUGGGAAAAUUAAGGGAAGAUCAUGGUUCUCUUCUACCAAGCCAAAAGAUUUAGAGGCUGUGGCCAGCAUGGCAGCUCAUAGAGCAGGCCAGACUCAUCCCUACAGCCAUCCCUGCAUCCCAGGGUCGUCCCAGAGCCAUCCCAGAGCCCCACUCAUUGAGAGUCAUCACCAAUUGCUUAGGAAAGAGAAACUAACAGGUAACACCAGAAACUUCUGGAAACCAUUCAGCAUUCUUUGUACAAAUUUUGUGGCCAGUUCUCAUGUUGGCCUCAUUUGGUCUCAAGUGUGUCUGGGUGCAGCUCCGUGGUAAGUGCUUACUGAGCAUGCCCAAGGCCCUUGGUUCAACUCCCACCUGCAAUAAAUAAAGACAUAAGUCAGACGCUGUGGAGUGUAAGUUCCAGGGCCUCUCCAGACAGUGCGGUAUUAGCACAGCUGGAUUGAAGGGCCUUUUCCUUUUCAUGGAUGUGCCUAGCAACCAGGAAGAUUGAACGUCUGUACUGUGUACUGAUAAGCAAUCCGUACUCUUGUUUCAUGAACUUUAAAUUUCAUAUAAAUCAUGUGUUACUUUGCUUCAUUUUUAGCUAGUUAUGCCCGUUGGAUUUACCCAUCCCAGAGCCAUCCAGCUGACCUGGCUCACUCACUGUGAUGAACGCAGUGUUGAACUGCUUCUGUAACCACACUGUUCUCGCUCCUUUUUACUCCUGUGGGUCAGGCGACUUGCUUUCACGGUUAGCUAUUUCAGAAUACUGAAAAGGACAUUCUUCCAGUCCCCAUGUCUCUGGACACACGGAAGUGGAAUUGUUGGUCAGCUGUUAGCUUCCAAAUGUGUCCCUGUGUUUCUCUCCAUUCUAAUCACCUGCUGGUACUGUCUCACUUCUGGGGGGCAUGAAACAGCUUCUGAUUGUUUUAAUUUGCAUCUCUCUGACUUUUAAUUUAAUAGCACACAUUUUCAUGUGACCACAGACCAUUAAAUGUCCUCUUCUGCUACCUGCUUGGUUGCAGUCAGCUGCGGUUUCAGUGUGAAAUGUCUCCCACAGCUCUUAUUUGAAUGUUUGGUCCUCAGAUGGUGGCAUUUCAGGGAGGAUGUGGCGGAGGUGGGGCCAAACUGGAGGAAAUGGGUCACCACUGGUAAGUCUAGUAGGUUAGAGCCUGGCCUGCUUCCUGCAGGCUUUCUGCUUCCUGACAGCCAGGCUUUCUGCAUGAAGGUGAAGGCACUCCUGAACCAGGAGCACAAAUCAUUCCUUCUCCUAAGUCCUGGACAGAAAAUGUCCCAUCGUUCUAUUCAUCCAAAUCUGUCACAGGGGUUCUUUAAUGGCUGUCAUUUUGCUGUGUGUCCUGAUGUCUUUCGGGUUUUCUCUUGUUGCUGUCUCUUUGCUUCGUGGAUCUUUACUUAGAUAAACUCCUGAGACCUGGUCCAGUUUGUCCUGGCUGGGGUGUCAUGGGAAAGCCGGGCUGCCUCUGGGUCCCUGAGAAAAGAACUGCUUUUGCUCCCUUCUCCGGAAGCUCCAGUAAACCCAAGUGGAGUUUUACAGGCCAUCUCGCAGCAUGAGCAAAUGGGGCUCAGGAAAAGAUUGCUGAAACACUUGAAAACUGCAAGUUGGUCUUGACACAGCACGGGCGCAGGAUAUGUGACGGGAAGUGGCGUGGUGAGCAGCGAUAACGAUCCCUGUGGCCAGAUCAACUACGGGCUUCUCACCCCAGCCUGGGUCCCCACAACAGACACUGCUCGCACUGAGGCGGAGCUUCAUCACACAGCAUAGUGGGGGUAGGGGCUGAAAUCUGGCUGUGCUACUGAGGGACACUGUGCUACUGUGGGCUACAGAGGGGCUGUGCUACUGAGGGGCUAGAGAAAGGAACCCCCACGGUGGGCUACCAGUACAAACACAUCUGGCUUGCAAAAGUUGUUCUGCCUGCUUGGUUUUGGCUUCACUCACCCCUACUUUUCCAAAGCGCCUCCUGGACUUACAGCUGGCUUUGGGAGAACUGAAGGCGCAACGUUUGUCCAUUUGUCCAUAGUAUCUCCCUGGGAAAAGCUGUGAAUGCCACAGACACAGGAGCUCAUUCAAGAUCCCAGGUGCCUGCUGGUAAUGGGGUGUUAAUUACCAGAGGCACUAGAGACCCCGUGUCCAGGUGACUCUGCCCAGGGCUACAGAACCUGGAGCAGCCCGCCUGGGAAGGUGGCUUUUCCUCCAGAUGGCCAUGGGCUUUACGUUAGCAACAGGCUUUCUUGCAAUUUCGCAUUGCCAAUUUGUGGUGGCACUCUUCAAAACAAAACUUCUAGGGCUGGAGAGAUGGCUCAGCUGUUUAACGGCGCUGGUGGUUCUAGCAGAAGACUGAGGUUCCGUUCCUGGCACCCAUACUGGUGCUCAUAACCAUCUGUAACUCCGGUUCCAGGAAUCUGAUGCUUUCUUCUG